UGGGGAAUAUUGGACAAUGGGUGAGAGCCUGAUCCAGCCAUGCCGCGUGCAGGAAGAAGGCGUUAUGCGUUGUAAACUGCUUUUUGCCAGGGGAUAAAAAGACCGUGCGCGGUUAAUUGAAGGUACCUGGUGAAUAAGCCACGGCUAACUACGUGCCAGCAGCCGCGGUAAUACGUAGGUGGCAAGCGUUGUCCGGAUUUAUUGGGUUUAAAGGGUGCGUAGGUGGCCCUGUAAGUCAGUGGUGAAAUAUCUCAGCUUAACUGAGAGGGUGCCAUUGAUACUGCAGGGCUUGAGUACAGAUGAGGUAGGCGGAAUUGACGGUGUAGCGGUGAAAUGCAUAGAUAUCGUCAAGAACACCGAUAGCGAAGGCAGCUUACCAAGCUGUAACUGACACUGAGGCACGAAAGUGUGGGGAUCAAACAGGAUUAGAUACCCCCGUAGUCCCUGAGCGGGCUGGCAAGGCGCAU
rnacentral:rRNA from 1 species